GCCGGGAUGGCGGAAUUGGGAGACGCGUUAGGUUCAGGACCUAAUGCCUGCAAAGGUGUAGGGGUUCAAAUCCCCUUCCCGGCA
rnacentral:tRNA from 1 species